rnacentral:rRNA from 3 species
UUAAGUUAUUAAGGGCGCACGGUGGAUGCCUUGGCACUAGAAGCCGAUGAAGGACGUUACUAACGACGAUAUGCUUUGGGUAGCUGUAAGUAAGCGUUGAUCCAGAGAUUUCCGAAUGGGGGAACCCAGCAUGAGUUAUGUCAUGUUAUCGACAUGUGAAUUCAUAGCAUGUCAGAAGGCAGACCCGGAGAACUGAAACAUCUUAGUACCCGGAGGAAGAGAAAGAAAAAUCGAUUCCCUGAGUAGCGGCGAGCGAAACGGGAAUAGCCCAAACCAACAAGCUUGCUUGUUGGGGUUGUAGGACACUCUAUACGGAGUUACAAAAGAACAUGUUAGACGAAUCAUCUGGAAAGAUGAAUCAAAGAAGGUAAUAAUCCUGUAGUCGAAAACAUAUUCUCUCUUGAGUGGAUCCUGAGUACGACGGAGCACGUGAAAUUCCGUCGGAAUCUGGGAGGACCAUCUCCUAAGGCUAAAUACUCUCUAGUGACCGAUAGUGAACCAGUACCGUGAGGGAAAGGUGAAAAGUACCCCGGAAGGGGAGUGAAAGAGAACUUGAAACCGUGUGCUUACAAGUAGUCAGAGCCCGUUAAUGGGUGAUGGCGUGCCUUUUGUAGAAUGAACCGGCGAGUUACGAUCUGAUGCAAGGUUAAGCAGCAAAUGUGGAGCCGCAGCGAAAGCGAGUCUGAAUAGGGCGUUGAGUAUUUGGUCGUAGACCCGAAACCAGGUGAUCUACCCUUGGUCAGGUUGAAGUUCAGGUAACACUGAAUGGAGGACCGAACCGACUUACGUUGAAAAGUGAGCGGAUGAACUGAGGGUAGCGGAGAAAUUCCAAUCGAACUUGGAGAUAGCUGGUUCUCUCCGAAAUAGCUUUAGGGCUAGCCUCAAGUGAUGAUUAUUGGAGGUAGAGCACUGUUUGGACGAGGGGCCCCUCUCGGGUUACCGAAUUCAGACAAACUCCGAAUGCCAAUUAAUUUAACUUGGGAGUCAGAACAUGGGUGAUAAGGUCCGUGUUCGAAAGGGAAACAGCCCAGACCACCAGCUAAGGUCCCAAAAUAUAUGUUAAGUGGAAAAGGAUGUGGCGUUGCCCAGACAACUAGGAUGUUGGCUUAGAAGCAGCCAUCAUUUAAAGAGUGCGUAAUAGCUCACUAGUCGAGUGACACUGCGCCGAAAAUGUACCGGGGCUAAACAUAUUACCGAAGCUGUGGAUUGUCCUUUGGACAAUGGUAGGAGAGCGUUCUAAGGGCGUCGAAGCAUGAUCGCAAGGACAUGUGGAGCGCUUAGAAGUGAGAAUGCCGGUGUGAGUAGCGAAAGACGGGUGAGAAUCCCGUCCACCGAUUGACUAAGGUUUCCAGAGGAAGGCUCGUCCGCUCUGGGUUAGUCGGGUCCUAAGCUGAGGCCGACAGGCGUAGGCGAUGGAUAACAGGUUGAUAUUCCUGUACCACCUAGUAUCGUUUUAAUCGAUGGGGGGACGCAGUAGGAUAGGCGAAGCGUGCUGUUGGAGUGCACGUCCAAGCAGUAAGGCUGAGUGUUAGGCAAAUCCGGCACUCAUAAGGCUGAGCUGUGAUGGGGAGAGGAAAUUGUUUCCUCGAGUCGUUGAUUUCACACUGCCGAGAAAAGCCUCUAGAUAGAUAACAGGUGCCCGUACCGCAAACCGACACAGGUAGUCAAGAUGAGAAUUCUAAGGUGAGCGAGCGAACUCUCGUUAAGGAACUCGGCAAAAUGACCCCGUAACUUCGGGAGAAGGGGUGCUCUUUAGGGUUCACGCCCAGAAGAGCCGCAGUGAAUAGGCCCAAGCGACUGUUUAUCAAAAACACAGGUCUCUGCUAAACCGUAAGGUGAUGUAUAGGGGCUGACGCCUGCCCGGUGCUGGAAGGUUAAGAGGAGUGGUUAGCUUCUGCGAAGCUACGAAUCGAAGCCCCAGUAAACGGCGGCCGUAACUAUAACGGUCCUAAGGUAGCGAAAUUCCUUGUCGGGUAAGUUCCGACCCGCACGAAAGGCGUAACGAUUUGGGCACUGUCUCAACGAGAGACUCGGUAAAAUCAUAGUACCUGUGAAGAUGCAGGUUACCCGCGACAGGACGGAAAGA